UGCUCAGUAGCUCAGUGGUAAAGCGGUCGGCUAUUAACCGACUAAUCGUAGGUUCAAAUCCUACUUGGGGAG